rnacentral:rRNA from 1 species
GACGAACCGUGCGAACGUUAUUCGGAAUCACUGGGCUUAAAGCGCGUGUAGGCGGGCCCGUAAGUGUCUUGUGAAAUCCCACGGCUCAACCGUGGAACUGCUGGGCAUACUGCGGGUCUUGGGCCAACUAGGGGCAGCCGGAACAAGCGGUGGAGCGGUGAAAUGCGUAGAUAUCGCUUGGAACGCCGAAGGUGAAAACAGGCUGCUGGGGUUGCGCCGACGCUGAGACACGAAAGCCAGGGGAGCAAACGGG